rnacentral:lncRNA from 1 species
GGCUAAAGUAAAAGCUUUUUUUUUUUUUUGGUAUAAAAACGGCUACUCAUUCAUAUAAGUCUAACAUGAGUACAACCAGCCAAAUCACGGAAAAGAAAUGACAACAAAGCAAAAGGAGCAUCUGAUGCAGACGUCCACAAAAAAUCCUCGAAGUGCCGAGCAACAAAAGAGGCGAUCCAGUCUGCGGCCCUGUUCGCCUCCCUAAACACGUGA